UACGUAGGGGCGAGCGUUGUCCGGAAUGAUUGGGCGUAAAGGGCGCGUAGGCGGCUGUGCAAGUCAGUAGUGGAAGCCCAGCUUUUAAGGUUGGAAGUGCUAUUGAAACUGUGCAGCUUGAGUGCAGGAGAGGUUAUCGGAAUUCCCGGUGUAGCGGUGAAAUGCGUAGAUAUUAGGAGGAACACCAGUAGCGAAGGCGGCUCUCUGGACUGUAACUGACGCUGAGGCACGAAAGCGUGGGGAGCAAACAGGAUUAGAUACCCCGGUA
rnacentral:rRNA from 1 species